AUGACAAAGUGGGAUCCUCCCCAGCCGGAGUUUGUCAAGGUAAACUUCGACGCUGCUUUCAAAAAGGAGUCCGGCGACGGCGCCUUUGGUUAUAUCCUGCGUUCGGACGAUGGAGCCGCUGUCGCAGCUGGGGCUGGGAAACUGUCGCACAUCAAAAGUGCUCUUCAUGUGGAAGCGGAGGCAUGUCUGGCAGCGGUCGAGGGAGCCGCAAAUGUGGGCGUCCAUCGUGUGGUGCUGGAGUCUGAUUCCCUAACUCUAGUCCAAGCACUCACCUCCGGCGAUUCAGAUUUAUCAGAAUUGGGAGUGCUGUUCAGGGAGAUCAGAAGUAGUUGUAUUCUCCAUUUCGAUGCUUUUCUGUUUAAUCAUUGCCGUCGAGGCUGUAAUUCUGUUGCGCAUGCUUUAGCGCAGUCUGGUUAUCAGGCACCAGUUCUCUCCACUGUAUGGCUGGAGCACCUGCCUACUUAUGUACUUGAUCUGGUUGCGAGCGAUCUUGUGGCACCCUCUGGUUAA
rnacentral:rRNA from 1 species